AUGACCCGCCAUUGGCCCUGGGAGGUGAGCCUCCGGAUGGAAAAUGAGCACGUGUGUGGAGGGGCCCUCAUUGACCCCAGCUGGGUGGUGACUGCGGCCCACUGCAUCCAAGGCACCAAAGAGUACUCAGUGGUGCUUGGCACCUCCAAGCUGCAGCCCAUGAACUUCAGCAGGGCCCUCUGGGUCCCUGUGAGGGACAUCAUUAUGCACCCCAAGUACUGGGGCCGGGCCUUCAUCAUGGGUGACGUUGCCCUUGUCCACCUUCAAACACCUGUCACCUUCAGCUCCACAGCCAACUCCAUGCUGACCCCAGAGCUGCAGGAGGCUGAGGUGUUUAUCAUGGACAACAAGAGGUGUGACCGGCAUUACAAGAAGUCCUUCUUCCCCCCAGUUGUCCCCCUUGUCCUGGGGGACAUGAUCUGUGCCACCAAUUAUGGGGAAAACUUGUGCUAUGGGGAUUCUGGAGGGCCAUUGGCUUGUGAAGUUGAGGGCAGAUGGAUUCUGGCUGGGGUGUUGUCCUGGGAAAAGGCCUGCGUGAAGGCACAGAAUCCAGGUGUGUACACCCGCAUCACCAAAUACACCAAAUGGAUCAAGAAGCAAAUGAGCAAUGGAGCCUUCUCAGGUCCCUGUGCCUCUGCCUGCCUCCUGUUCCUGUGCUGGCUGCUGCAGCCCCAGAUGGGCUCCUGACCUCCCUACCUUUUCCUCCUCCUGCCUUGCCUCUGCUGAAUGGGGCCAGAUGGUUUGACCAAGGUCAUGUGUCCAUCUUCAAAAAGAGUCAGGGUGGGGAAGAGUAACCCCUGGGAGAAUGGGUCUGGCUUUGGCAUCCCGGUGAGGAGAAGUGUGGUGGAUGACUAGGCCUUGGGUGAGCAGGAGAAGGGAAGUGUGGCCUAGAAGGAUUCUGGAAUCUGGGACCAGGAGAGCAGGGAUUAAACAUGUGCAAACUUGA